ensembl:lncRNA
CUUUUUUGAACCACAGCAGCACUGUGAUUGGAAUUUCUACUUUGGAGAUGUUUUUAGUGAUAGUCUACCACACUUUGGUCAUUCUGCAAUCCUCUGCAAGUCCAACCUCAAGACGAAAUGUGCUGAUUAAAAGAUACGCUGCAGGUACUGGAGGAACACAAUGAAAAGGCAGAGUGCAGUGAAUUAAUCUUGUCUCUCAGCAGUGCUAUUUGGAGAACUUCUUGAAGCCAGUGGUGGAGCAUAACUGGGCUACUUGAAAGGAACUACCACUAAGAUGCAGGUUUUUGGGACACCCAGGCAGUGUCAGCUUUCUUCCACAUGCCAGGCUCUCCUAACAGAAUCACAUCUCUGGAGCAUUGAUCUUCUCCCUGGAUGUUUGAUGAUAUGUUUAACAGAAAUAUGGUACCCAUUCUCAUCCAGUAUUUAUCACAGAGCCUUACAGAACCCAAGCCCGGAUCCCUCAGCAAGGUGCACCAAUUAAUAGGGCAUGGGAUUUCCUGCAAAUGCCUGACACUGCUAAAACAGCAUCAAGAUGGCAAUUAAAGAGAGA